rnacentral:rRNA from 1 species
AGCAGCCGCGGUAAUUCCAGCUCCAAUAGCGUAUAUUAAGGUUGUUGCAGUUAAAAAGCUCGUAGUUGAAUUUCGGGAUCAAUUAAUCGGUCGUGCCUCUGGUACGCACUGGUUUUAUUGGUUUCUCCCUUCUGACGAACCAGGAUGUCAUUAAUUUGGUGUCUUGGAGAAUCAGGACUGUUACUUUGAAAAAUUAGAGUGUUUAAAGCAGGCUUCUAGGCAUGAAUACAUUAGCAUGGAAUAAUGAAAUAGGACGUUUGAUCCUAUUUUGUUGGUUUCUAGGAUCGACGUAAUGAUUAAUAGGGAUAGUUGGGGGCAUUAGUAUUCAAUUGUCAGAGGUGAAAUUCUUGGAUUUAUUGAAGACUAACUAUUGCGAAAGCAUUUGCCAAGGAUGUUUUCAUUAAUCAAGAACGAAAGUUAGGGGAUCGAAGACGAUCAGAUACCGUCGUAGUCUUAACCAUAAACCUAUGCCGACUAGGGAUCGGAUGGAUGUUUAAUUUUUUUAAUGUACUCAUUCGGU